UGCUAGUUGCACGAGUUUAGACUCGUGGCAUAUAGCUCAGUAACACGUGGCCAAACUACCCUACAGACCGCGAUAACCUCGGGAAACUGAGGCCAAUAGCGGAUAUCACUCUCAUGCUGGAGUGCCGAGAGUGAGAAACGUUCCGGCGCUGUAGGAUGUGGCUGCGGCCGAUUAGGUAGAUGGUGGGGUAACGGCCCACCAUGCCGAUAAUCGGUACAGGUUGUGAGAGCAAGAGCCUGGAGACGGUAUCUGAGACAAGAUACCGGGCCCUACGGGGCGCAGCAGGCGCGAAACCUUUACACUGCACGACAGUGCGAUAGGGGGACUCCGAGUGUGAGGGCAUAUAGCCCUCGCUUUUCUGUACCGUAAGGUGGUACAAGAAUAAGGACUGGGCAAGACCGGUGCCAGCCGCCGCGGUAAUACCGGCAGUCCAAGUGAUGGCCGAUAUUAUUGGGCCUAAAGCGUCCGUAGCUUGCUGUGUAAGUCCGUUGGGAAAUCGACCAGCUCAACUGGUCGACGUCCGGCGGAAACUACACAGCUUGGGGCCGAAAGACUCGACGGGUACGUCCGGGGUAGGAGUGAAAUCCUGUAAUCCUGGACGGACCACCAAUGGGGAAACCACGUUGAGAGACCGGACCCGACAGUGAGGGACGAAAGCCAGGGUCUCGAACCGGAUUAGAUACCCGGGUAGUCCUGGCUGUAAACAAUGCUCGCUAGGUAUGUCACGCGCCAUGAGCACGUGAUGUGCCGUAGUGAAGACGAUAAGCGAGCCGCCUGGGAAGUACGUCUGCAAGGAUGAAACUUAAAGGAAUUGGCGGGGGAGCACCACAACCGGAGGAGCCUGCGGUUUAAUUGGACUCAACGCCGGACAUCUCACCGGUCCCGACAGUAGUAAUGACAGUCAGGUUGACGACUUUACUCGACGCUACUGAGAGGAGGUGCAUGGCCGCCGUCAGCUCGUACCGUGAGGCGUCCUGUUAAGUCAGGCAACGAGCGAGACCCGCACUUCUAGUUGCCAGCAAUACCCUUGAGGUAGUUGGGUA
rnacentral:rRNA from 1 species